CUGAGGACGCCACGCCGAGACCGAAACGCACAGUGAUGUUGAUGUUAUUAAUAAAUAAUAACAUAGUAAAAACCACAUAAUUUUGUGUCAAACCAAUUCUCGCUGAUAUUUUUUAUUCCGACUGAAAUUAAGCUUUUGUGUUCACUACCAGCACUGCUUAUGACACUUUUAGUACUUAUAGUUAUCCUAUUUGUGAACACGAAAACACAGAAACGCAAAAUAAUGUUCUUACGGAGAAAAACAAUUUUCAUUAUCGAAAAAAAGGAAAUACAAAAACCCUUACGAAUUGGAAAAUGUCAAGUCUAGUAAGACGGUUAGUUAUUUUUAUAUUUGUAACAAUAACAUUUUUAAAUAUUAUGUUCAUCAUAAGUUGUACUUAUAAUACCGAUACUGUUACCGGGAUUGAUCCAAGUAUAUUAUUUUUAUUUACGAAAACGCAUGGUCAUUUUUUGAUUUUUUAAACAAUUUUUAAAAUAAUUACAAAAAACCUAAAAAAAAUAUUGCAAAGUUAAAAAUAAAAUAUGUUUGUGUUUUUAUGUACAGAUAGACUCAGAUUCAUUAACAUUGCAAUCAUCUCAUAGAAAUGAAAAUAUUAUGGACUUGAGUAAUUCUGCAAUAUUCGUACUUAGAUUUAGUUUUUUUAUUUUUAUAGAUUUUUGAAAAUUACUUUGACAACAAACAUAAAAUUUUGGUAUGUAUUUACUAAAGGUUAAAUGACGAAAGUAUUUCUAUGAUUUUCGCUUCACUAUUGCCAAGAGCUAACAAUGUAAUGUUAGAUAAUGAAUUAUUUAGACUGUAUAUUGUUUUGAAAAAUGAUACAAAGUAAGAACAAUAAUUAUUACAGUACUAAUAAGCCAUGUAUUAGUCUUAUAUUAUAAAAGAGAAAAUAUUGACAAUAAUAAUACAAUUUCCGUGUGUUCUAUCGCCAUUUUGUAAGUAUACUUAAACUAAAAUCAUAAUGUGUAAUAUAUUAUUUUACAUGUUGUUUUAGAAAUGAUCAUGUUCUAAGUGGUCGAAGAAUAGUUGAUAUCAAUUCUUUUUAAACUUGAUAAAAUCAAUUGACCACAAACCAUUUGAUUGUUUAUUUCAAAAUCUUGUGUAUAAAUAUGAAAUACACUAAGACUUUUUUUCCAAAUUUUAUUUUGAAUAUUCUGUGUUUAUAAUUUAUAAUUUAUCAUAAGCUCAUAGGAGACGGAGAUUCAAGUGUUUUAAAAAAAAUUAUUUUGGCAAACCCAUAUGGACUGUAUGAUAUAGACGUAAAAAAAUGAAUGUGCAAACCAAAUACUCAAAAUUUACUUAAACUGAAUUGUAGUAAUGACUACUAGAAGAAAAAGUUCAAAAGGGAAUGUGGUUUCUGGAGUUUUACGGAAAAUUUUAAAAGAUAAGCAUUUAAAGUUGAGGUAGGUACAAAUUUGUUUUUAAUUUAUAAAUUAUUUAAAUUUUUUAAUAUAUUAAAUCUGAUAUAAAUGUAUGAUAGAUUACAAUUUUUAGAAGAAAAAAACAACAGAAUGGCUAUCUCCAAAUUUUCCAAAAAUAAUAAAAUAAUAAUUCAUGUAUAAAUAUUUGUACUCCUCAUUCCUGUGACUAAUAUAAAAAAACAUAAUUUGAUUAUCUUUAUUAUCUCCAGAGAUCUUUAAGGGGUAUAUCUUCAUGAACAGCCAGUAUAAAUCAUUGUAAUUGUAAUUUUAAUAAAUUUAAAAAAAUGGACUUUAGUUUAUGUAAUUGUUUUACUGGUGUGUCAUAACAAAUUCAUGUAAAAUAAAACUAAAUUUACCUCUUAAUUACCCAAUUACGUAAUUCAAUUUUCUCGGUAAAUUAAAUUAAAGCUAUCCUUAGAUGAAAUCUAUGUUUCAGAAAGAAUAACAGUAGACCAAUGCAAUAGUGACGAAUGGUGGAGACAACGUAAGAUGUGUCUCACAGCAUCAAAUUUUAAAAAAGUUUCAAAACUUAGAGCUAAUAUCUCUCGGGCAAAUACUGUCAAAUAUAAAUUGUAUGCAUUAUUUUGCGGCAAUGUUGCUACAAGGUUAUUUAUUUUUUAUUAUAUUCAUUAAUUGUAAAGACGUGAUAAUAAAUAAAUAAGGUUAC
rnacentral:lncRNA from 1 species